AUACGGAGGGUCCGAGCGUUAUCCGGAUUUAUUGGGUUUAAAGGGUGCGCAGGCGGAAGAUUAAGUCGGCGGUGAAAUUUUGCAGCUCAACUGUAAAAGUGCCUUCGAAACUGGUUUUCUUGAGUGUAGAUGAAGUAGGCGGAAUUUGUGGUGUAGCGGUGAAAUGCUUAGAGAUCACACAGAAUAUCGAUUGCGAAGGCAGCUCACAAAGCCAUUAUUGACGCUGAGGCACGAAAGUGUGGGGAUC
rnacentral:rRNA from 1 species